GGGAUUUAGCUCAGUGGUAGAGCGCUUACCUAGGAAGCGCAAGGCCCUGGGUUCGGUCCCCAGCUCUGAAAAAAAAAAAAGAACCAAAAAAAAAAAAAAAAAAGAAGAGAAAGCAGAAAUCAUUGGUCUUUAAUAUCUAACCAGACCCUCUGUCACCAAUCCCCCAGCUCCUAGGGACCAAACUGCCAGCCAAAGGAUAUACAAGGAUGGGUCUAUGGUUCUAGGUCACUGUGUAGAAGAGGAGUGACUUAAGUGGCAUCCAUGUGGUGGGAGGCCAUUGACUAUGCUGAGGCCUGUUGCCCCACCAAAAGGAGGUCCUAGAGGUGUGAGGUGGGAAUGGGUAUGUGUGGGUGGGGGAUACUGUCAUAUAGGUAAAGCUGAGCAGAAAUGGGAUGUAAGAUUUGAUGAGGGGAGUCUGGAAACUGGGACAACAUUGGAAAUAUAAAUAAAUAAAAUAACCAAUUAAUAAAAUAUACCCACAAAUAAAAUAAAAAGCAAAAAGGUAAAAGAAUAAUUACACCAAAAUAAAACAAAAGAAAUCCCUGUAGUGGAUUGGCCUAAUUCUUCUUGUGUUUAAUGCUAAUUUGUGGAACUCAAGACUUGCAAAUCCCCAAAAGCUGACCCUGCUCCCAGUUAACUGUGAUUAUGAAGAAGCCAACAACCAACAGGUGCACAGCAGAGAGAUGGGGGAGGUGAGUUUUGAGGGCUUUGCUAGAGAGGAUCAUGAGGAGGGAAGAAGGAAGAAGAAGCUGCCAUAGAAUAAAGGAAGAAUGUGUGAUGGAGAGGAGAGAGGAAGAGGACAGCAGCCAUGGUUAAGGGAGAGGAGCGCCUGGUCCUGAGGGCUGUCCAAGUGCAACAAAGAGCAGCCAAGAUGCUACACAGUCAGUAAGAGUUGAGCGUUAUUGUUUGGAAAGUAGAUCUGAUACCAUGGAGGGCAGGCAGCUGCCUAGCUACUGUGCUGACUAAUGCACACUAAAAAUAAAUUUAACACAAUAUGUAUAACCGGUAAGACAGCUCUGUAGAGGAUCCUAAAAGGAAUACUUUAGUUUGAAGGGAAGGAUAAAAUACUAGAGAAAACAGGAAAUAAUUUAAUAAAACUACGACAGUCAAUCAAAAGAAGCCAAUAAAAACCACAAAAAUUAACAAAAUGACAAAAUUUAAUACAUAGGUUUAAAUAAUAUUUGCACGUCACUAAACUCAAUUCCCCAGUAAACAGACAUUAUUUAGCCAGAAACAGGAUCACCAUCAUGAGAGAUGUAGAGGAUAUACUAGGGAAACAGACCUAAGACACAGGUCCCUAUAGCAAUUCUGUGCAGUUUCUCUGUCAAUAAAAACCAGCAAGAUCUAGAGUUAAAUGUCUGUGUUAGUGCUGACCUACACCACCAGACAUAUAUUUUCUUUUAAGUAAAUAACAAAUCUUGGGGCUUACACUGUAAUCAAAUAUCCUGAAACAUGAGUUUGCAGUGUUCCCUACAUUUUUUUAAAUCAAGUACUUUGACUACCAUUUUGUUUCUUUCUAACCAUGUCUGAGUGCAUCAUCAAGGGAAUCCCAAGGGAAAUCAGAAAUGGGUUCUUGAAGCUGUUGCACAGGGACAACAUAGACCUAAGUACCACAGAGGAAACCUUGAUUCUUAUCACAAGGGACCAUUUCACCAUCCCUCUUGUCACAUAACUUAUGGCAAGAUGUCACCUCUCCUGACCUUAGCUUCUUCUCCUAAAUGCUGCUGAAGGGAAGAUUUGGUGUCAAGGGGUCUGGAUUCAAACCACACCAACACUGAAUUCAUGUAAAUAGGUGUAGUUCAUUGAAUGCACACACCAAUACAGUUCAACCAGAGCAACAGCUCACAACUGUGUACUGGACAUUGCUAUGGCCCAGCUCAUUGCAAGAUCCACAUGGGCUCAUGCACAAGUGCUGGAAAUACUGCUGUCUAUGGGCCCUGACUCGGGUCAUUUUACACAUAAUUGUUCCUAUUUUCCUUGAAUCUUAUGGGUCCUAUGGGAAGCUUAUAGUUGGGGAACUUGUUAAGAUUAACAAACCUCAUAAUAUACAGAACAUAACAGGGUAUGUGACCAGCACCACACAGUUCAGUGUCAGAUUUUUUUGUUUUGUGUUAGCUUGUUUUCAGCAUCCAUGAUGUGGAGGCGUAUUACAGCACAAUAGGAAAGAGCUGGCUGCUGUGUAACAAAUUUGCCGCUGUUAAGUGCCCAUUCAACAUCACUUGGUCCCUGAAGAGGAACUCAAGGUCUGCCCCCCUGCUGCCUGUGAGCCAGGAGUAGGCACAGAAAGGCAUGGCCACAGCGCUGGUUUCCAAUUCCUCAGUAAUGCUGGAUUUCCACUAACGUACGUGGAUACACAAAUACAGUGUGGUAAGUUACAAUACACACUAAUCAUUUCUUACAUAGGGCAGCAGUUGAUUGACUACAACUAAUUCCAUUUAAAAGUGAAAGAAACCUGGCUCUUGUGGAAAUAUACAAAGAAAUAUCUACGAUGCUGGGGAAUGAAUUCUGCCAUGGACUGAACUCAUAAUGGGGGGGGGGUUGGAAUAAAGAUGCAUGGUUAAAUAGCCCACCAGGUUCACAUUGUGUCAGCUUGAUUUAAUCUAAGGACAAAAAGUGGAGUAUCUCUGAUGGCUUUCUUUUUAACCCUUGAAAGGAUCCCUGGGGACUGGCCUCAGUACUUCAUAUUUCUUGCUGGGGCAACAAUGCUCAAGGAAGCUUGAGACUGUCAUAGGCACAGUAUUAUGCUAGAUAUACAGAGUAGAUAAUACUAAGAUGUUCAGAUGGUGAUAUCCAUUUAUAUAUACUCUUAAUGUGCACCUAAGGAAAGAGAGAUCAAGGUCCUUACAAUAGAAAGAUCAGUUCCAUUUUUUUCUACCAUUCCAAACUGAACGACUGGUAGGGAGAGAAUGGUAAAUAAUUGAGAAUUCAUAGAUGAUGCUUUGAAUGAAGAGUGGGUUUCUGCGCUGGUUUUAGACAGGGUCUCAAGUAUCACAUGUUGCCCUCUACCUGGUUGGCCAGGUUCUCUUUGAGCUCAGAUAAACCUCCUUCCACUUUCCAAUACAUAGGCUUACAAGAGUGGCCUCCAAGGACUGUGAGGACAGCAUUAGCCUUUGACAGUUGAGGUGUGCAACCCACAACUAUAGUUUUAGCCACGAUUUUCCAUGUCUACCAGCUCUUUCAGAUUGUUGCUGUUAUAUGCCUGACAAUCAAGGACGCAGAAAAAUAACCUGAUAGAGAACAAGGGCAUGGUUAUCACAUCCUUGCCUCUUCUGUAUGUUCUGGAUUAGGUUUGUUAAAAUUCCAAUAUUGCAAAAAGCUUUAUAUAGGGCCCAUCUCAUUAAGGGUCUCUGUGCACUGUUCUAUCUAAAAUGGCCCAAUCAGAACUGACCACCAGAUAACACUUCCUGCAAUCUUCAUAUGAGAGAGAAGCUUGAGCUUUUUGUUUUGAUUUUUUCUUUUCUCUUUCUUUCUUAUUUUUUGCUAUAUAAGUUGAGAGAAAGAGAGUUGGGGCCAUGAAUUUGCUCCCAAAAUUUGAACUAUGGAUGUGAUCAAUCAGUGUUAGUGUGUGCAUUCUAUAAAGUAUUCAUUCUUUACUAUGAUAGAUGCUUCUGUGUUUGGUGGGGUGGCCAUUUCCCAGUGUACAGGUGCUGGGACCUUGCUCUAUCCACUUAAUGAUGUUUAUAGCCUCAUUUUAGUUGUUUAUGUGCACCCCCUAUGUCUCUUGACUAUUUUAUUUUUCUGAUAGAAGCUCAUGGUACAUCUUACUCAGGCCUCUGAGCAGUGCUCCUUUGGCGACAUUGGUGCAGAGAGGAGAACCCCACAAGCAGCAUGAGGUUCCGUUCACUGGUGGCUCCAAUAUUGCACUUUCCUCUGCCAACUGGUCUCCACACUUUUCCUAGCACCAUAAAGACUUCAACUCUUUCUCCUAGGAAUUUAUUGGCAAUUGUCAAUUGCUAAGCACAUGACUUCAUGAGUGUUCCCCUAAUACACACCCAUGUUAUAACCCACCAUGCAGACUAUUUCUUGAUGUGAUAUAAAGCACCUGUACAUAAUGAGUCAAGAGAACUUUUGACUGCAUAUUCAAGCUGGUGUGAAAUCUCAGGAAGUUUUAAUGGCUAACAUUGGUGAAUGAGGAUGAUUUGCGUUAGUGAGACAUUUUUGGGCAAGAUUUGACAGGAAACAUUCAUUUAGAUGCAUAGGAAUUACUAAGGUUUUUUUAUAAUCAAGCCUUGAGGAAAAUUUGGCUUUAGAAGGAGGAGAUUCCCAGUGGUUCUGCCCUGGGAAAGCCUCCUGGAAAGGGCCCCUCAGCUUAUGCUCAGUACAGGGAGAACAUUAGCAGGGGGGCAAAGUCUGCUCCCCAUGACAUCUGCUGUCCCUUCUUGGACAUUCUAUUAUCUCCUAGAGAGUUCUGGCAUCCUCUGUGAUGUCACCAGUGUUGUAGUGACGACCAGUGCCCUAGUUUCUCUCAGUCUGAGUCUGGCAGUUACAAGCUAAGACAUGUUUUCCCGUCUUCGCAAGCGUUUUGGGAGGGGGAACGUCGAUUCUGGAGAGACUAGAGUGAAGGAGUCUGGCCUUUCGUCUCAAAGUAAUGAUGGACAAAGACAGCACUUCUGGGGAAUGUCAAGUUCACUUGUGUUCUUCGACCUACAGACCCUGGGAGAGAAACAUCUUCCCCUGAAACUGCCCUAAGCGAGAAGCAGGCCAAGAAGGAAAAGGAGAGGCUGAUUAAAGAGCUGCAGCUCAUUACCGAGGAGAGAAAUGACCUGAGAGCUCGCCUGAGGUUCCUUACAGAGAGAUCCAAGAACAACAGGUAUGAAUCACUCCAAAUGCUCUUGUUUCAUUCCUGGGUCUGCAAGGUCACCUUCAUCUUAUCCUAUUAAGGUUUUGGGUUCUAGAAAGCUGUGCCUCCCUAACCACCCUGUGCUAAACCUCACCUCCUAUAUAGAGGAGAUUCAGAACCUGACCCUUCCUGAGGAGCAAGAUGGAAAAUGGACUCAUCUGCUUCCAUUUAUUGAAAAGCAGAACUUGUGGUCUGAAUGAAGAAUUCAGGGACAAAGUCAGGGAGAGUGAGUGUCUAGUGUGCAUUUGCAAAGCCCUUGACAGCUGGUGGCUUUGCAAGAUUGUAAUUGCAGUGAGUUUAUGGUGAGUCUCUGUACUUGCUAGGCAGGGGACUGAGUGCUGGAAGAUCCAGGCAGCAGCCUGAG